UCCGGCCUUUCCGAACCCCUCCCCGGCCUCGCCGUCAACCAACGCGGGCACUGACUUUAGCGUGGUGCCGUGGUCUCGAGCACGGGCCGUGUAGUGGGUUCCGUUUUGUUCUGAGGUCGUGGAUAGUUCUCAGGAUCGAAGUGGAUAGGUAGGGGAAUUUUGGGAAAAUCCUGACGGAAGAAGAGAGGAAGAUCGAUCAAAGAGAGAUAGCUGCGCUAGAGUUCUAGUUGCGGAAAUGUGAAGGCAAGUAAUUUAGGGUUUUUCUGUUUAUCCCUCUCAUAUCCAGCUCCGAGUAUAUAUACUACUCGUGCGGUGAAUCAAUAGUAGCUCACUUAGAGCUUAAACUGGAGUGUAAUUACUACAAAGCCGAGAUGAGACUGAACAGGAAAGGUAAUUUGUCGGAAUUGUUCUCUGCUGUUGCAUUUGAGGGAUCUGAACCGUCCGAGGAACAUAAUGUUUGCCCGUUCCUUUGUUACUCUUCUGGAGAAUAGACUGACUGUUGAAAAGUUCAGACUAGGAUAUUUGGGUCCUGACACUGCACCUCCUGAGAUUAGAUUUCAAGGCUAAAAUGCAGGAAAUACCUUUUGAAUGAAUGCGCAUCCUCCCAGGUAUGCACAAGCCAUUGCACCAUUGCAGCAUUUUUGUGAAGGAUAGCCGGAAGAGCUAAUCAUAUGCUGUUGAGGGUUUGGGAGAGCAUUGGGGCCCAAGUGCUACUUGAGAUGACUGACAUGAAACAGUUGGUGGAUUUGAGCGCUCUCCAGAUGUUGCAAUUUAUAAGACAUCUCACCCACUUUCUGAAGGAUGUGAAAGGGGCCGUAGUAUUUGGACUGCACCGUCAAGGUGGAACGGAGACCAAAUGCAGUAAUUCUGUAUGCUUGAAGUUUAAGGUAUACUAUCUCUCCCACGUUGAAGUGCGUUCUGUCUGCUUCAGGUCUGCGAAUUUGUUGAUUCUGGCCUAAGCAUGAUCCCGAUUUUCCUGCAGUUUUGCCAUUGUAGCUCCUGUGUCAAUUAGUGCAGCUCUGGCUUUUUCACUGACAGUGCAAGGAAUUGCCAUUUCAGCAAUCUGAGGUGGCUGAUACCCAUACAGAGCCUUCAAUGGAGAAGUUUUCAAAGAUAUGUGGUAUGAUGUGUUGUGCCACCAUUCUGCUGCUGGCAGCAGAUUACACCAACGCUUGGGUUCCUGAAAUGCCAUGCUACCGAGGUAGCUUUCGAGACAUUGAUUUACACGUUCAGGUUCAGGCUGUCCGUCAGUUUCUAGGUGAUGAGUGGUGGUCAAUUUCAGUUCUUCAUUUAGAGAUGUGAAGAAAUCCAUCCUAUCUUGAUCAGAUACAAUCACCUGAGGCAGACCAUGUAGCUUAUGGAUAUUAUCCAUUAAGAGUUUUUGCCACAGUUUGCACAGUGAAUGGGUGAACCAAAGGCAGGAAGUGUGCAUACAUUGUCAGUUGACCAACCACCACUAGAAUAAAAUCUUUGCCCUUGGAUUAGGCAAUCCCUCUAUAAAAUCCAUGGAUAUUUGGGAUCAUGCCUCUAGGAAUUCUGAGUGGGUUGAGCGAACCAGGGUAAUUAAUUGUUUCUCCUCUAGUAACCUGACAAUUUGGACACUAAGCAAGGAACUGCUCAAUUUCUCCUUCUAACCCAUGCCAAUACAAGAGCUUCUUAAUUCUGUGACAUGUCACUCUUCUGCAAGAAUAUAAUACCCUCCAAUGAUGGAAGAAUGGGAAGAAGUGAGGAUUUGUUUCCCGAGGUUGUUGGAGUUGCCCACAUAAAUUAUUCUUUUGUAUCUGAGGAUACCAACUUCAGAUGAAUAUUUUGGUUUGCUUGAGGGAGCUACAACCAGUUCCUGUAGUAAUUUCAAGCACUUGUCGUCAGUUUUGUAUGAUUCUUCCACUUCUUUCACUCAAGCCGAGAUUACCAUUGAGAUUGCAUUACAACAAUCACUUCAUUUUCUUGGUCUUUCUUGGAUACUACCUUGUUUUCUACUUGUUUUUUGUACGUAAUAGCAUAAUCAUACCCUAAGAGCUUGAGCAUGAGUUUGUGUUGUAUCCCCUUUAGUUAUCUCUGACUGAACAUGAACUUGAGACUUCUAUGGUCUGAUUUGAUGAUCAGUUUGUUGCCAGUGAAGUAAUGUCUCCACUUUUUCAAGCCUUCCAAAAUUGCAAUGGCCUAUUUUCAUAUGUUGACUGUGCAGUUGCAUUUAGACCUAAACUCUUACCGACAUAGGCAGGAUGUCCCUUUUGCAUGAGAACAACUCCUAUAGAAGUACCACUUGCAUCAACUUGUAGUGUGAAAGGCAGAGAAAAAUCAGUAGCUAGUCAUCCCCAAGAAACUUCUGAGUUUACUGAGGGUUGUUGGUUGUUUCCAAGCAAUGAUUGCAGCUAUCUUUGAAGGAUCAAUAGCUACCCCCUUAGAGGAAAUGAUGUGUCCCAAAUAUUCAACAACAGGUUGUGCAAAAACACGCUUAAUUUCUUCACAACCAGUUCGUUCUUUCUCAAAAUAUUUCCAAAACUUAGUGUGGAUGAGUUGCACGCUGUUUUAUGCUUUUGCUAUAGACCCGUAUGUCAUCAAAGAACACCAGUACAUGUUCCUUGAGUAUCUUUGAGAAAAUGUUGUUCAUAAUGGCUUGGAAUGUUGCUGGUGCAUUUGUAAGCCCAAAAGGCAUUACAAGAUACUCAUAAUGCCCUAGAUGUGUUCUGAAUGCAGUUUUGUGGACAUUAUCUGGAUGCAUUCUUAUUGGAUGGUACCAUGAUCUGAGGUCCAAUUUGGUUAAUAUAAUGGCCUGCCCCUUGUAGUUCAUCUAAUAACUCUUCUAUCACUGGGACAGGAUAUUUGUUGUUGCUCUUGCUCUUGUGCUGGAAGUUGUUCUUGUUCCAGUUCCUCUUGCUCAUCAUCAGAAGGACCUUGCAUUUUGAGUGCAUUCAUGCUCUUUGCAGCCCCUUGCAUUUGUGCUCAUAGAACCAGUUCUUAGGACAACACGAACACUUCUUUGGUUCUCUACCUUUGUCAUUUGGAGCCCUGGGUCAGUUAUCUCUUGCAGGUGCUUGCCUUGAUCCCUGCUGAAAUUGAUUGGGUCUGGCCCCCUUUUGAGUGGCAGCAAGAACAUGUCUUUUUGCUGCUGCCAAAUGAGUUUGUUCUAGCUGCCUGGAGGACUCGUAUGCACCGAGCAGUGUUAGGUUUAUCACAUUUGACCAUACGUUUCACAUUAUCCUUGUGGCCACUGAUAAAUCUCAGCACAAAGAAAUAUUCAGGUAAAUAGGGAUUGUCCCUCGUCAUUAGUUGCAUCCAAGUCUCAAACUGAUCAAUGUUAUUAUCCGUACUGUUGAUUUGCUUUAGAUGUUGGAAGUGGUCCAUUGCAUCAUACCAGUCUGCUUCAGGAAAUCUGUCACAUAGCAAGCUGCAGAAUUGAUGCCAGCUGAAGUAGUGCAGCUGUAUAUGUCCUCUGCCGACCAUAUUUGAGCUUUUUCUCUAAUGUGUGCACUGACACUUUUACUCACUGAUCUUGUUGGAUGCCUGAUAGCCCAAAUAUUUUUUCACAUUGCUGGAUCCAAGUGAUUAUGUCAUCUCCAUUGUAAAUGGGAAUUUCUAGAGGGUGAUCAAAUAAGGGGCUCAAUUGGAGGUUAUGGUGUUGAGGGGGUGGGGGUGGAGGAUUGGCUGGUGGUAUGCUGCUAUUGAUGUUGUAGCUGAGGAAUUUGUGGAUAGUAACAAUAGAGGUGGGGUGGAUCUUGUGGGUGAUAUACUGGUGUGUUUCGAGGAAUAUGUGCUACUGGAUAGUAGUUUUGAGGUAGGUAAGGUUGCUGGUAAUUGAGAUUGCUGUUGUUUGGCUGUAGAUGUGGUGGUAGGCAUGCGAUGGGAGUGUUGGUUCUGUUGUGGAGUAGUCUGAAAUUGUGGGUUUUGAGUUGGAGAAUGGACAAAGAAGUUCUGCUGUUGUUUAGGUAGGAGUGAAGUAAAGAAAAUUGUGGUUGUGGCAUUUAGUGGCAUUUAGGCUAUUCUGUGGGGUGCGUGGAAGCUUGCUAUCCAUGUGCCAGAGCCAUGAGUUGGUCGCGAGAUCUUAUGGGUUUCACCUCUAGCCUACCCCAACUUGUUUGGGACUAAAGGUGUUGUUGUUUGUUGUUGUUAGGCUAUUCUUCUGUGGGGUUUGGUUUAGGUUUUGCAGUGGUGGUAUAGGAGUGUGAACAUUGGGUGUAGGUUGGCGAGACAUGUGGCUCGGUCUUAGGCUGCCAAACUGUAUCCUUCAUGACAACCUGGAAGGGGUGAGUGGCAUAUUGUGGGUUUCAGUAGUAGAGCUGUAAUUGGUUUCAUGAAUGGCCAUCAGAUACUCGCUGGGCCCUUAAGACAUGUGAUGACCGAACCGAUCGUGAACCUCAGAAGUUCAUGCAGUGAACUCAACUCACGAGUGGAUUGCAGUCAGUCGAUGGCUACUUGCUAAAAUUAACGCUCAUCACCACCUCUAUUAGCUUAGAGAUCUCACCGUGCAAAGAGAGCAACGAGUCUUGUUGAUCCUUUUGCCCAUGGAGGCGCACCAUCUCUUGGGGCCAAUGAUCACGCACUGCUUCCUCGACGCGUGCGGCUUUCUUUCCUGCUUCUAGCCACCGCCAGAGUAGUCACUUCCUCUUCCAUCGCCUCGAAGAGCUCCUUUCGUCACCGUCGUCGUAACUCACUUUGAAUCGUGGGAUUUUGCAUUGUUCCACCAACCCUUCUUCGUUGCUUUGCUGAAUCGUCCUCGGUCUGUCAAAUCCGCGGCGGUAGGGUUUUAGCAGGUUAUUGUGAGCGGUCUUCAUACCUUGCUCGCUAAUUUGAGCCAAUAAUGGGUGAGAGGCUCUGAUACCCUUGUCAAGAUCGACAGAAGAGAUGGAAAUCGACCGGGAUAGAUAGCUAUGCUAGGGUUCUAGUUGCGAAAAUGUAAAGGCAAGUAAUUUAGUUUUUUUUUUGCAUAUCCCUCUCAUAGCCAUUAUAUACUACUUGCGUGGUGAAUCACUGGUAGCCGUGUAGGAACAAGGUUCGUUUGUUAGGAUGCCUCAGCUACAUGCAUCACUACACUUCCACUUGACACCUAUUUAAACGGCUCGUCUCGCCGCUACCUUAUCCUAUUUCCAUACUGCUGUCGCUCCAUCCCGUAUGGGUAGAGAACCCGUCGCCGUCUCGGCUGUGAUACCGGAGGCUCUAGGGAAGUCAGAGGAGAGAGCACUCAUUUUUGGGUGGGCUUACUACUUAUAUGCUUUUAGCAGUUAUCCUCACCGCACUCGGCUACGCGGCUUAACUGGAGCGUAAUUCUUACAAAAUGUGAGAUUAGUUAAGAGUUAUAUUGUGUUGCAUGUAUAGCCUGUGUAUUUUCCCCGUUGUAUGAGGGGUUUCCUGCAUAUUUACCACAUGUAUAUAUAUAUACCGGCUUGCCCUCCCAAGGAAAUACAAGUUGCAUAUUUCCUGACAUGGUAUUAAAGGCCUAGGUUAUUUUUUCUUCCACGCGCAGCUCGUG